rnacentral:rRNA from 1 species
UACGUAGGGUGCGAGCGUUAAUCGGAAUUACUGGGCGUAAAGCGUGCGCAGGCGGUUCGUGAUGUCUGGUGUGAAAGCCCCGGGCUUAACCUGGGAAUUGCAUUGGAAACUAGCGGGCUGGAGUGUGGCAGAGGGGGGUGGAAUUCCCGGUGUAGCAGUGAAAUGCGUAGAUAUCGGGAGGAAUACCGAUGGCGAAGGCAGGUCUCUGGGCUAUAACUGACGCUCAUGCACGAAAGCGUGGGGAGCAAACAGG